rnacentral:rRNA from 1 species
CAGCCGCCGCGGGAAUACGAAGGGGGCUAGCGUUGUUCGGAUUUACUGGGCGUAAAGGGCGCGUAGGUGGACUGAUAAGUCAGGGGUGAAAUCCCAAGGCUCAACCUUGGAACUGCCUUUGAUACUGUUUGUCUUGAGUUCGAGAGAGGUAAGUGGAACUGCGAGCGUAGAGGUGAAACUCGUAGAUAUUCGCAAGAACACCAGUGGCGAAGGCGGCUUACUGGCUCGAAACUGACGCUGAGGCGCGAAAGCGUGGGGAGCAAACAGGAUUAGAUACCCCUGUAGUCCCUGUCUCUUAUAC